rnacentral:rRNA from 1 species
UUGACGGGGGCCGCACAAGCGGUGGAGCAUGUGGUUUAAUUCGAAGCAACGCGAAGAACCUUACCAGGUCUUGACAUCCCUGACAACCCGAGAGAUCGGGCGUUCCCCUUCGGGGGACAGGGUGACAGGUGGUGCAUGGUUGUCGUCAGCUCGUGUCGUGAGAUGUUGGGUUAAGUCCCGCAACGAGCGCAACCCUCGACCUUAGUUGCCAGCAUUCAGUUGGGCACUCUAAGGUGACUGCCGGCUAAAAGUCGGAGGAAGGUGGGGAUGACGUCAAAUCAUCAUGCCCCUUAUGACCUGGGCUACACACGUGCUACAAUGGGCGGUACAAAGGGUCGCGAACCCGCGAGGGGGAGCCAAUCCCAAAAAGCCGCUCUCAGUUCGGAUUGCAGGCUGCAACUCGCCUGCAUGAAGCCGGAAUCGCUAGUAAUCGCGGAUCAGCAUGCCGCGGUCGAAUACGUUCCCGGGCCUU